rnacentral:misc_RNA from 1 species
GAUGAAGAUCGCAGCGAAAUGCGAUAAGUAGUGUGAAUUGCAGAAUUCAGUGAAUCAUCGAAUCUUUGAACGCACAUUGCGCCCUUUGGUAUUCCUUAGGGCAUGCCUGUUCGAGCGUCAUUUAAACCUUCAAGCUCAGCUUGGUGAUGGGCGACUGUCCCCCCCCCUCGCGGGGGGGACUCGCCUCAAAAACAUUGGCGGCCGGUACAUUGGCUUCGAGCGCAGCAGAAACGCGGUCUCGAGCCCGGUGGAUCGGCUCCCAUAAGCCUAUUCUUUUAUUUUGACCUCGGAUCAGGUAGGGAUACCCGCUGAACUUAAGCAUAUCAAUAAGCGGAGGA